GCCCCCAUAGUCUAGCCUGGAUAAAACGCUGGCUUGCGGAGCCGGAGUCCGGGGUUCGAAUCCCCGUGGGGGCG
rnacentral:tRNA from 2 species